rnacentral:rRNA from 1 species
GGGUUGUGAGGUUAAGCGACUAAGCGUACACGGUGGAUGCCCUGGCAGUCAGAGGCGAUGAAGGGCGUGCUAAUCUGCGAUAAGCGCCGGUAAGGUGAUAUGAACCGUUAUAACCGGCGAUACCCGAAUGGGGAAACCCAGUGUGACUCGUCACACUAUCAUUAACUGAAUCCAUAGGUUAAUGAGGCGAACCGGGGGAACUGAAACAUCUAAGUACCCCGAGGAAAAGAAAUCAACCGAGAUUCCCCCAGUAGCGGCGAGCGAACGGGGAGGAGCCCAGAGCCUGAAUCAGCAUGUGUGUUAGUGGAAGCGUCUGGAAAGUCGCGCGAUACAGGGUGACAGCCCCGUACACAAAAGCGCAUGUGCUGUGAGCUCGAUGAGUAGGGCGGGACACGUGGUAUCCUGUCUGAAUAUGGGGGGACCAUCCUCCAAGGCUAAAUACUCCUGACUGACCGAUAGUGAACCAGUACCGUGAGGGAAAGGCGAAAAGAACCCCGGCGAGGGGAGUGAAAAAGAACCUGAAACCGUGUACGUACAAGCAGUGGGAGCCCCACCACUAAGCCAGUGGUGAACUCCACAUACGCAUCCUUUGCUGAGGAUACGGUUAACGGAGCGAAAGCGACGUUCAACCUCAAAAGAAGCAGAGGGGGCUUAGUGGUGGGGUGACUGCGUACCUUUUGUAUAAUGGGUCAGCGACUUAUAUUCUGUAGCAAGGUUAACCGCAUAGGGGAGCCGGAGGGAAACCGAGUCUUAAUUGGGCGUUAAGUUGCAGGGUAUAGACCCGAAACCCGGUGAUCUAGCCAUGGGCAGGUUGAAGGUUGGGUAACACUAACUGGAGGACCGAACCGACUAAUGUUGAAAAAUUAGCGGAUGACUUGUGGCUGGGGGUGAAAGGCCAAUCAAACCGGGAGAUAGCUGGUUCUCCCCGAAAGCUAUUUAGGUAGCGCCUCGUGAACUCAUCUUCGGGGGUAGAGCACUGUUUCGGCUAGGGGGCCAUCCCGGCUUACCAACCCGAUGCAAACUGCGAAUACCGGAGAAUGUUAUCACGGGAGACACACGGCGGGUGCUAACGUCCGUCGUGAAGAGGGAAACAACCCAGACCGCCAGCUAAGGUCCCAAAGUCAUGGUUAAGUGGGAAACGAUGUGGGAAGGCCCAGACAGCCAGGAUGUUGGCUUAGAAGCAGCCAUCAUUUAAAGAAAGCGUAAUAGCUCACUGGUCGAGUCGGCCUGCGCGGAAGAUGUAACGGGGCUAAACCAUGCACCGAAGCUGCGGCAGCGACACUAUGUGUUGUUGGGUAGGGGAGCGUUCUGUAAGCCUG